GAUGAAGAACGCAGCGAAAUGCGAUAAGUAGUGUGAAUUGCAGAAUUCAGUGAAUCAUCGAAUCUUUGAACGCACAUUGCGCCCUUUGGUAUUCCUUAGGGCAUGCCUGUUCGAGCGUCAUUUAAACCUUCAAGCUAAGCUUGGUGUUGGGUGACUGUCCGCUUCACGGCGGACACGCCUCAAAAUUAUUGGCGGCCGGUACAUUGGCUUCGAGCGCAGCAGAAACGCGAACUCGGGCCCGUCGUAUUGGCUCCCAGAAGCUAUCUUCACAAUUUUGACCUCGGAUCAGGUAGGGAUACCCGCUGAACUUAAGCAUAUCAAUAAGCGGAGGA
rnacentral:misc_RNA from 1 species